rnacentral:tRNA from 1 species
GCCUCCGUAGCCUAAUGGAUAAGGCACCAGCCUCCUAAGACGGGGAUUGCGGGUUCGAGUCCCGCCGUAGGUA